rnacentral:rRNA from 1 species
CCUACGGGAGGCAGCAGUGAGGAAUAUUGGUCAAUGGGCGCGAGCCUGAACCAGCCAAGUAGCGUGAAGGAUGACUGCCCUACGGGUUGUAAACUUCUUUUAUAAAGGAAUAAAGUGAGGCACGUGUGCCUUUUUGUAUGUACUUUAUGAAUAAGGAUCGGCUAACUCCGUGCCAGCAGCCGCGGUAAUACGGAGGAUCCGAGCGUUAUCCGGAUUUGUUGGGGUUAACGGGAGCGUAGAUGGGUUGUUAAGUCAGUUGUGAAAGUGUGCGGCUCAACCGUAAAAUUGCACUUGAUACUGGCAGCCUUGAGUACAGUUGAGGUAGGCGGAAUUCGUGGUGUAGCGGUGCAAUGCUUAGAUAUCACGAAGAACUCCGAUUGCGAAGGCAGCUUACUAAACUGCCACUGACAUUGAUGCUCGAAAGUGUGGGUAUCAAACAGGAUUAGAUACCCCGGUAGUC